rnacentral:lncRNA from 1 species
UCCGAUCCAGUGAUUCAGCUUGAUCUGCGCAUUUCUGGGAAAUUAAAACCCAUGAUGAAAUGGUCGAGAUCUGUAGGAAAUAAUAUAUAGAAUGAGCAUUUCCAACUCUAAAUCUGGUCGUUUAUGGGUUACUAGCUAGGGCUCCUUUUUCCUUAUUUAUUUUUCUCUUCUUUGCGGCUCACUGGGCUAGAUAACGAUAAAGAUUCUC